AGUGAACGCUGGCGGUAGGCCUAACACAUGCAAGUCGAACGGACGCACAGUAAGAGUUCGUCCUUACGGGUGGCGACUGGCGGAUGGGUGAGGAAUAGAUCGCAAUCUUCUUUUUCGUGGGGGAUAACGUAGGGACACUUACGCUAACACCGCAUACGACCUACGGGUUGAAGCAAGGGUGCUUCGGACCUUUCGUGACUCAAUUAGACGAUGACGGAUUAGCUAGUUGGCGAGGUAAAGGCCCACCAAGGCGACGAUGCGCAGCUGAACUGAGAGGGUGAUCAGCCACACUGGAACUGAGACACGGUCCAGACUCCUACGGGAGGCAGCAGUAGGGAAUAUUCGGCAAUGGGCGAAAGCCUGAUCCAGCAAUGCCGCGUGAGUGAUGAAGGCCUUCGGAUCGUAAAACCCUUUUAUUAGGAAAGAAAAGCAGUGGAAUAAUACCUGCCUAUUCUGACGGUACCUAAACAGAAAGCACCGGCUAACUACGUG
rnacentral:rRNA from 1 species